rnacentral:lncRNA from 1 species
AAAAAAAAAAAAAGAUUAACCUAACAAACUCCGACGCCGCUGUCCGGGCGUUCCGUUUAGGGGCGCUGGCGCUGUAUCAAUGGUUGAUCAGCCGCAACUGCAGCUUCCGGCCGUUCUUGAGCGGCUUUUCUGCCUCGUUCCAGCUGCUGUCGUCUCUGCCGUCGCUGCCGCCACCGUCGUCCGUCCGUCCGUUCGUUCCUUGUCUCCCGCGCAAGGUAAGGUUUGGUUGCUGAAGCUCAUAAGCCGUUUAAUUUAUAUUUGGCUUUGGUUGAUCUUAUUACCAAAUUUAUUCUUGGCUUGCCUUUCCUGUUCUCUUUUUGUUUGUGGUGGUAGACUAGUAGUAUUCAAGUUAUCUCAUUCUUAUUGCGGAUAGGUUUGUCUCUGUGUUUUCAUUUAUUCUUCGCUUGCCUUUCGUAUGUCUUUGUAUUUUCAUUUGUAUUAUAAUGUGUCGAAACCUCCGAAUUCUUGGCACUGGUUUGUUUGCCUUUUUUUUUUUUUUUUUUUUCAAAGAUACAAAACCAGAACAGGGUGUUCGAAAGUGUGUACCCGUCAUAAAUUUUUGCUAUAAAAAAUUUGGUAAAUUAAUUUAAAAACAACAACAUGGUGGUGUAUGAAAAAUCAAACAUUAAGAUUUUCGAUUGUAACAGUAGGUACGUACAUUGAUUUGGGUCAAGAAUAAGAAGCAAUUACAGUACGGUUAUAGUACACAAUGGCAACAGUAGUAUCGAAAACUCUACGUCAAUCGUUUGCUUUUACAAAAUGGCCUGAUUUUCUUCUCCAUUUUCUGUCCGUUUAUGCUUGAUUGGUGGAGGAUAAUUGUUGCUGAUUUGGUUUCUUAACAUUGUAAGUGUUAUUGUCUUGAGUGUUGAUGGAGAUGGAUUAUUGAUCUAUUUAUGUUUUCUGUCAUUUGGAGAUGUAACUUCGGUAGCUUGGUACAUGUUAUUUAUUUUAUGUUGUUUGCUAACUUUUGUUUUAAGACUUAAGUACUUAUCUGCUUGGUAUUCAUUUGACUUUUGUUUUUUCAUUUACAUCAGUUUUUUUUUUUUAAAAAAAAUAAUCUGGGGCUGGAAUUUAAAAUUGAAUUAGGAUUUUUUUUUUUUUUUUGUGUAAUCCGAAUUGCAAUCUGAACUGAAAUUCAAACCCGAAUUUUUUUUCCUAAUCGAAAUUUAAUACAAAACUAAACUGAAUUUAAUUUGGUUUGAAUUUGAAUUUCAAAUUCAUUUGGGCUGAAUUUUGCAACUCGAAAGGAAAACUCGAUUUAUGCACCCCCAAUUUUUCACACCCACAUAUUAAAUAAUUCACUACAUAUAAAAAGAUUAUGAUAAUUGGUUAUAUCUAUCUAUAUAUAUAUAUAAAGUUAGGACUUGAGGAGGUGAUGUGGCAUCACCAUUUUGCUUCUUUGUAUAUUCUCUAUUAUCUAAUAAAUAGAGAUGUUUUUUUUAGAUUUGCUUUUUCAUCUUCUCAUAAUUAAUUUGAUUGUAUUUAACUCAUUUAAUAAAUAGUAACUUUAUUAAUAUAUAUCAUUCCUCAUCUUUUUAUAUUUUCUAUUAUAUAAAAUAUCUAAAAUAUUGGUGGAUAUUCUUUGUAAUUUUUUUUCUCUUUCUAUUUAAAUUCAACAAUAUGUAAUCAUUAAUAAUAAUUAAUUAUAAGUCUUUUGAAACAUUUAUUUAUUUUAUUAUGCUAGCAAUUAAACUUUAGUGGUAUAAAAUACAUGAAUUAAUCUAUCUAUCUAUCUAUACAUAUAUAUAAAGUUGGGACUACAAGAGGUGAUGUAGCAUCACCAUUUCUCAUAAUUUCAUAUUGUCUAUUAUUUAAUAAAUUGGUUGAAAUUAAAAAAUAAUUACAUUACAAAAUAUUAAAAUAGAAAAUAAUUAUUAGAUUAUAAAUUAUUACAUGUCUUUUCCUCUUUCUAUUUAAAUUCAACAAUAUGUAACCAUUAAUAAUAAUUAAUUAUAAGUCUUGAAACAUUCAUUUAUUUUAUUAUGCCAACAAUUAAAUUUUAGUGGCUUAAAUAUAUCAAUUAAUUAAUAUAGGAAGGAAGGUUCCUUCAUCUUCCCUCAACAAUGCCAUUAGAGCCUAAUUUUAAUGUCAUAAUCUCAUUUUUAAUUAUUUAAUCUUUUGUUUAGUGCCUUUUGGCUUUUUUAAACUCUAUAAAUAUUAAGUAGUUAAGAUUUGUGGCAUCAUUAUUUCUCAUCUUUUUUUAUUCUCUAUUAUCUAAUAUAUUGGUUGAGAUUAAAAAAUAAUUACAUUACAAAAUAUUAAAAAUAGAAAAUAAUUAAUAGAUUACAAAAGAUUACAUGUCUCUUCCUCUUUCUAUUUAAAUUCAACAAUAUGUAACCAUUAAUAUAAAUUAAUUAAAAGUUUUGAAACAUUCAUUUAUUUUAUUAAGCCAACAACUAAAUUUUAGUGGUUUAAAAUACAUCAACUAAUUAAUAUAGGAAGGAAUGUUCCUUCAUCUUCCCUCACCAAUGCCAUUAGGACCUAAUUUUAAUGUCAUAAUCCUAUAUUUAAUUAUGCAACUUUUUAUUUAGUGUCUUUUGGCUUCUUCAAACUCUGUAAAUAUUAAGCAUUUAAGAUUUGUUAUGUUUAAGUUUUUUUUUUUAUUAUUUAACGAACAUCCUCUUUAAAAAUGUUAUUGUGUUUUUAUUUUUUGACUUAUUUAAAUUUUUAGUAUUGUGUGCUUCAUUGAGUACUCUUUUCUUCAUGAGUUAAACAAUGAUAAAGAUAGUUGGAUGAUAAGGGUUAGGCUUUGUAAGAUGUGGGAGUCUGUUAAUACCAAAAAAAAUAGAGAGUUGAUUAGUAUGAACAUGAUUGUUAUUGAUGAAAAGGUUGUGUACACUUAACUAUACACAUUAAUAUAUUUUUUUAAUGUUAACAAAAAAAUAAUAAACUUUCAUAAAUAACAUUAGUUUUCUAAGGCUGCGUCAUCUUAAAAAAAAAAUUCAUAUUUUUUAUCAGUUUCAUCGAAUGCAAAGUAAUAAAAAAAGAUAAUACUAAAUUCUUUUUUUAAAACCGCACGAAGUGCGGUUCUAUUUCCUAGUUUUUAUAUAUUUGCAACUCCCACCACUUGCUGUUAAAUCUUAGGUAAUUAAACUUGCUUAGCAAAGUCGACAUCUCCUUCUUUGAUAUUAAUUAUUAAAGCGUGUCUAUAGAAUAGAUUAGGUCCGUUAGGAUGAGAAAGACAUAAAGGGUUAGUUGUUUUAGACAAAAAGCCCGACAUUGAUUGUCACUAUUGCUUCCUCUUCAAUUCGCAAUUCAUGACACACUGCUUGUGCUUGCAUACGGUUUAGUUCAUCAAGCCGCUGAAGUACAAUUUGUAAGCCCUUUAUAUAACGAUCAAGUUACCAAUUCUUAGACUGCAACCAAGCAUGCAAAUUAUAACUUGCAUGCAAUACUAAUUAGCAUGCAAUCUUCACAAAUCAGCCAGCCUUGUCCAUUAUACUUGAUCUCUGUAAUCCAAGCUUGUAGGUCUCCAUUAGUUUACUUCCUAAAUAACUCCUUGUAUGCUUCCAGAUCUUCAUUAAACCCAAUAUAAUUAGACCAACUAGUUUAAUUCCUAUUUCCUAGAUAGACUUGACGUGCCAAAGAUCUUACUGUGGAUCGUUCUGUAGCUCAAGGUGGCAUUCAAUUAGUCAAAGGAUAGGAUUAUUAUUUCUAACUAGGUUAUCAAUCACUGUACAUGUAAGGAGGUAAUGUUAACGUGUUAAUGACACGACUCAAAGUCGGUUGCAUGGUCAAGAAAUCUCAAUAGUAUUUUAUGUAAACUUGUCAAAAAUUCUUACUAUGGAUUAUUAACCUAAUCAAUAAUUCUCGAUCUUAUAUUAUGUCCGUGAUUGAAAUUUCUCUUUUAUUCCGGAACCGUUGUAUAAUAAUUCAAUUACAUUGAUUCAUUUAAGUAAUAGAAUCAAUAUUAUACAAUGUAUUUGUUUUCAUAUUAAACAAAUAAUUGAUUAUUUUGAAAAUAUAAUUAAUUAUUAGCUUCAUUCGUGUGAUAAAGUAUAAGUAAUUUUACAUAAUCUCAAAUUUGCAUAUAGAAAUUUAUUAUUUUGAAAAUAUUAUUUAUAAACUCUAUAAUGAAUUUAAAUGACUAUCCAUACAUUUAUUUAUUUUUCAUUUUAAUAUUGUCAAAAUUUAUUAAAAAUCUAAUUGGUAUUUUAAGUAAAUGGAAGUGGAGAGUAUUUUAGCAAGUUAAAAUAAUCCAUCCAUAUUUUUAAUAUAUAAAUAUGUUCAUUUACUAAAUUACUUUUGAUGAUAAAAUAUUUUAACAGAUCAAUGUGUCAACAUUUUGAAACUUAAACUUUUUGUAUUCUUUUAAUAAACAUAUUAGACCACAUCGUUAAUAAUCAAAUAAUAACAUCCAAUCUUUUGGAAUAACAUUUGCAACUCUUGGAUUGGAUCCAAUGGUUGGCUCACAAAAAGACAAAAAAAUGGGUAUGAAACCUUUUUAGUUCAAACAAAUAUGGUAUAACUUUAGAUGAAAAAUUUUAAGUACAUAAAUUAGUACAAAAUAAAGUAUGGAUUCAACAUUUUAUGGCUUUAUCAAAUCCCCAAUUUAUUUCACGCGGACAUCUUAUGAGAUAAAUUAACUAAAUAUUUUACAUGUGUGUUCCAAUCUAGGAUCUUAGACUUUGUAAAAGUUUGGGAAAGUUGUCAGUGCGAUUUAAUAGCUUUCUUGGACUUUAAUAAAGUUCAGGAUCCUGAACCAGAUCAACACUAUACAUAUACAGUUAAACUUAAUUGUGCUUAUCGCAAUUGAUAGGAAAUCAGCUACAAAUUCGGUUUUUUAAAACGCUUAAAGGAAUUCCCCAAAACAACAAAGAUUUUUUUUUAGUCCAUUGAGGCAAGGAACUUAAGAAUUAAUGUUGUUACCUUGUAGUAUCAUCAGUUCGUCAAUUUUGUACGGGUGCUGCAGCGCCUUAAUUGAUCAUCAGAGGAAUUAAUCCUUUAAAGCUAAAGCAGAAACAUCAAAACUUCAUUCUAUUCUAUUAACGUUGGAUAAAUUGUGUGGAUUAAAUAAAGAAAUUGAUUUUUCUUGCCUUAUGAAUGGUAGUUGUGCAUUUUUGAGGAAGAGAGUGAAUGUUCUUGCCUUACGAACGGUGAUUGUACAUUUUUUAGAAACUGGCUGGCUGGCUAUUGUCCCGCCCUCACUGUUGUGGGCUGGAAAGGCCACAGAGUACCUUAGUUCAGGGGUUGAUUUGGGCUUUUACGUGUCCCAACGUACAUAGGAAUAAUAAUAAUAAUAAUAAUAAUUCAUACUAAUUAUAUAUAUUAUAAAUUACGGUUUAACUUAAUUUAAACUCACACCAUUCGAUUGAGGGUCAUGCUAUUAUAACAGAUUGUAUGAAGUUUAUAGCCUUAAAUUUUCAGGAAUACAACAUUUAUUUUUUCUGAAUUUUUUUAAACAUAUAAUCAAUGAAAUAAAGAUGGAAUCAAGUCACUCACUCAAUAACCUCUAAAUAAUAUCAUAACAUAAAUAAAUAAUUUUUUUUUUCGAAAUGAAUUUUAUUAAUCUUAAGAGACAGUCAACAUCGGACAUAACCAUGGAGGUGGAACAGUCCUCCACUCUCCAGGAUCUGACAUAGAACCCCCCACCCUAACCACAUUAUGGGCAGCGAAGUUCGCAGAUCUACGCACAAAAAAGAAUCUCACUUCUCCAAUUAGCUGAGCUACAGUUUGACAAUCCGCAAUAAUUAACCCAAAAUCGUUAGGACUAGUGUUUGGAGUAAUUAAGGCAGAAUAAACAUUCAGGCAAUCUAUUUCAACAAUAAUCUUCGACAACUGUAGGUUCUUGAUCCAGCUCAGAGCUUCACGAACAUCCAAAGCUUUAGCCUCACGAAGAUGAAACAAGCCAGGAAAUCUUUGACACUUAGCCGCAAUGAAAGCACCUCCAGAAUCUCUAAUCACUCCUCCAAAGCUAUAUCGACUUUGAGAGCUGAAUACCCCUGCAUCCACAUUACACUUUAACCAACCCUGAGGGGUAGGGAUGGCAAUGGGGUGGGGUGGGGGUGGGGAGGCCUACCCAAUUCCCCACCCCGUUAGAAAUUUUUGCCUCCAUUCCCCAUCCCAUUCCCCAAUAAAUUUAGUGGGGUGGGGAUGGAGAAUCCCCAUGUGAGGAAUGAUUUCUCCAUCCCCACCCCAUUCCCCAUUUAUCUAUUUUAUAAUAUGUAUAAAUAUAUUAUUUUAGUAAGUUAAAAAUUAGAGACUUAAAAUAAAAUCAUCAUCAUAUUAUAAAGUAUUUAAAUUCUUUUAAAAAAAUAUCUAAAAGUUUGAAACAAUAUCUUAAAAUGAUAUUAAAAGUGAAAAAUAUUUAAAGAGCGUAGUACCUUAAAAGAGAAAAGAAAAUAUAACAACGUUUCAGAGUUGAAAAAUAUUAUAAGAUUUUCUUUCAUUCAUAUCUUGUUUAUAUUGCAUAAAAAUUUAAAAAAAAAUUAUUAAUUUACAUUAUAAUUGAUAAAAUAAAAAUUAUUAAAUAAGAAUUAAAAACAUAUUUAUAUAUAAUGGGGAUUGGGGUGGGGGUGGGGUGGGGAGUACAAAACCAAACCUCACCCCAUUAAGAAUUUGGGGAUUAUUUUCCCCCACUCCCCACCCCAUUCCCCAAAAAUUAUUCAAAAUUUUCCCCAUUUGGGGUGGGGCUCCAUGGGGCCCCAAACCCGUGGAGAAUUUUGCCAUCCCUACUGAGGGGGCUUACCCCAACACACCGAGCCAUGGCCCAACUGCUCUUGCUCUUGCUCAACAAUGAUAAAGUUCUUCCUCUUAGCUUCCUGCCAACUGAACAGAUAAUGUCCAGCAGCAUUUACUAGACUUUGGGCAUUACUACUAUAUCCAUUCCACACUUUAUCAUUCCGAUUAAGCCAAAGCCGCCAACACACCAUUACAACUAGCUUGCAAUCUUCCUUACGACAUCGAGUAAAGAUUUGCUCCAUCCAUUCAACAAAAGAAGAGCAUCUCCCACCCACACUAAGAGAAGACAGAAGCCAGCAAGAUUUCACCAACACACAUUCAACCAAACAGUGAAAAACUUACUCAUUAACAACACUACAAAUGGGGCAAAUAGGUGAAACAUUGACCUUCCUAGACAAAAGAUUAUCUGCAAUAGGCAAAAUGUUCUUUAAAGCAUGCCAAAGGAAUUGUUUAACCUUACCUGGAGCCUCCAGACCCCAUAAGAACUUCCACACCUUACUGUUUGGAACAUUAGAGACAUAAUUUAGCAAAUUGUAGCAGCUCUGACAGUAAAUUCACCAUUUGGAUCGGCAAGCCAAAACCAACGAUCAUUAUCUUGUCGAGUGUUGAGAGGUACCUGUAAAAUCAGAGCAGCAUCCCUGGUAUUAAACACAUCCACAACUAAAUCGUUGUCCCAUCGCCUUUGUCCUAGAGCCAUAAGAUAGUUUACGGUAACUGUUGCAAUAUUCUCAGCCAACUCAGUGGUAAUAAAGCCAUUAUCGGCAUCAUGACGCCAUGGGUCCUUGUUAAUUUGAACCUGCUGUCCACUCCCAAUUUUUAUGCGACUGCCCUUAACUACGACAUGCUUGGCAACCAUAAUUGAUCUCCAGGUGUAGCUUGGAUUAAAGCCUAUGGUUGCAUCAACAAAAGAUGAUCUAGGAUAGUAUCGAGCCUUGAGAAUCCGAGCUACCAAAGAGUUCGGAUUAGUAAUGAGCUUCCAGCAUUGUUUACCUAAUAUGGCAAUGUUAAAAUCAUGAAGCCUUUUAAAUCCAACACCUCCCAUUGACUUUGGUUUACACAUUAAAUCCCAUCGAAGCCAAUGAAUUCCUCGCCCACCAUUACGAGUAGUUCCCCACCAAAAAGCAUUCAUCAUAAGCUCUAACUCUUUACAUAAAUCAAGAGGUAGCAAAUAGAUAUUCAUAGCAUAAUUUGGGAUUGCCUGAGCUACUGUUUUUAGCAUAAUUUCCUUCCUAGCCUUACUUAGGAAUUUCUGAUUCCAACCCUGAAGCCGCUGCCAGACCUUCUCUUUGAUAAAAGCAAAAACUGCACUCUUCUUUCUUCCAAUCAAAGACAGCAAACCCAAAUAGGUUCCAUGAUUACUAGUGGCCAAAACUUCUAGGAUUCCACACACUUGGCGUAUAGAAACCUCAUCCAUGUUUGCACUGAAGGAGACUACCGAUUUAUUAUAGUUCACCUGCUACCCAGAUGCAGCCCUAUAAAUGGCCAGCAGACUCUUCAUUAUUCGAGUUUCAGUGUGGGUGGCUUUAAAGAAGAGAAAACAAUCAUCAGCAAAAAAUAAAUGAGAAACAGUAGGGACACUUCUUGCCACUUUAACCCCAUGUAUGAGUCUUGCCCUUUCUCGAUUCCGAAUCAAAGAACUGAGCCCCUCCGCACAAAUAAUAAAUAAGUAAGGAGACAAUGGGUCCCCUUGUCGAAGACCCCGACUUGGAACUAUUGGCCCUUCUUCCUCCCUAUUUCUAAUCACAGUAGAGACACACAUCAUAAUAAGUGCAACCCAACCCUCAUCGAAUCCCAUCCGCAGCAUCAUAGACUUCAGAAACAACCAUUCAAUGCAAUCACAGGCUUUAGACAUGUCUAUCUUAAGCGCAGUUAUCCCAGUCUUGCCUUGUUUCUUUCGCUUCAAAUAAUGGACAAUUUCGGUCGAAAUGAGGAUGUUGUCAGUGAUCGCCCUACCCAGAACAAACGCGCUCUACGAUUCUGAGAUAACCGAAUCCAACACCAACUUCAUCGUAUUCGCAAGCAUCUUAGCAACUAUUUUGUAUAACACAUUACACAAUGCAAUAGGGUGCAUAUCUGUCAGACUUUCAGGUUGUGUCUUCUUAGGAAUCAAUACAAUUAAAGUAUCAUUUAGCCCAGCAGGGAGAGCCCGAUUUGUAAUAUAAUUUAGACAAGCAUCCAUAACAUCUUGUUCAACUAUAUGCCAAUAUUUUUGGUAAAAUGCAGGGGUCAUGCCAUCCGGCCCCGGGGAUUUAUCUGGGUGCAUGCUAAACAAAGCAUCCUUAACAUCAAUAGCUGUGAAAGGCUCCAGCAACAACUGAUUAUGCAGUGCAGAAAUGCUAGGCUCAAUACAAGAUAAAAUUGGUUCACAGAUGCACCCACUAGAGGAAAAUAAAUUCUGAAAAUACUCAGUGAUUAGUUCAUCAAGCUCACAAGGUUUCAAACACCACAUACCCUGGUUAUUCCGCAGUUUCUCAAUGUUAUUUUUCUUCUUCCUCAUUGAAGCUGUUGCAUGGAAAAACCGAAAGUUCAUAUCACCCUCCUUUAGCCAAAGAGUCUUGGCUCUCUGUUUCCAAUAAACUUCAUGGCUGUGGAGCAAUUCAUUGUAUUGUUUUUUAACUUCAGUAAAGGCUUCC